CUGCCCCUCCCCUCGGGCGCAAAUCACGCCCCAGAUUAGCACGCCCACCAGCGCCCCUUCCCUUUCGAUCGCCACCAGCGCCCCUCCUCCGCGCCGGACCGCCACCCCACGUUCCUCCGCACCAGGCCGCCGCCACGCCCUCCUCCGCGCCGGACCGCCUCCCCACGUUCCUCCGCACCAGGCCGCCGCCGUUGCAGUUCUCCAGGAUCCAAGACCAAGCUCGCGACGAAGGGUUUGGAGCUGGCCGCGAGAAGGUGCUCAAGGCCGGCUCCCUCUCCACAGCGCCCCCCCUGGAUGGGAGCCUCUGCAUGCUCCUGCUAUGGCGACGACGCAGCCGUUCUUCCACUGGACAACUCCAUCCCCAGCUACUUGUCUGUCGCCUCGGAUCUCCAUCUCGAUCUGUGAUGUGUUCUCUGGUGCCAUUGAAGCAGAAUCCCGUGCUUCCCAAAUUGUAUGUAGGACACAAUUGGAGACUCUGGAAUUUCCAUUCAUUCAACGAUUAUUAUUUUUAGAUCAGUACAUGUUGUGAUUGAUGAUGGUGGAAAUUGGAGGGAUUCUAUUUACUUAUUUUUGCGAGGAGGAAUUAUCUCCAAGGUUGCCCUGCUGAGGUAUUAAUUAUUGUAGAUUAUAAAAAACAAUGGAUUUAACAAAGUGUUCUUGUUUAGGAUGAGCAGGCAACAAGCCCAAGUACUAUAGAUUAUCCUAUGCAUUUCCUUUAUUAACAGAAAUUUGCAAUUCUAUAAUCUGUCAUGCAUUACAUCUCUGUUUUGCGCAGGAAACUUCAAAAAUUAGGCUUUUCUUUGUAAAUGACUUCUCAAGACUGGUCUGAUUUCUGUUCCCUUGGUCACAAAAUAUUCAUGGGAUUUCAUUUGAAUUGUUAUUCCAGAUUAUGCUGAACUAAAUAUGAGCAGUUCAGUGUGGUGUUUGGUUCGAAUGGCGAGUUUGGUGUGGUAUUUCUGCAGGAGUUUCUGAAUCUAAAGCAAGGGUGAGCGCCAAGGAAGGAGACUCCGCCAUGGGCCACAGUGGCGGGGCUGACCGCUGGCGGCCGCAAUAAUUAAUAUUGUCCCUUAGAUCCACCAUCACUAUGCAGCUGCACAAUCUGAACCAGGAGAAGUCUUAUACGACGCAUAUUAACACUUACCGAGGUGAAGACCCAUUGUUGAUGAAGUAUUUGCUAAUUGACCCAUACGGUGCAUAUUAAGGUGAAGACCCAUAGUUGAUGAAGUACUUGCUAAUUGACUCAUCCGGCACCCAGCUAUUUGAUCUUAUUAGGGUCUGGUGAGAUGGCUUUCUAGCUAGCUACAGGGUGUAUGCUCAUUUACUCUUUGAACUGAAAUUGUUUGCGAGCCGUAGCUGAUGUUAAUUCAUUGAUCAGUAGGUUAGUCAAUGUAGCUGUAGGUGGAACCAUUGAUGAGAGAGCAAUAAAUAAGAAAAGAGUUUGUAACCCAUGGGAGAGGAAUCAAAAUCACAUGAUGUGUCUCAACUCUGCAAAGGCCAUUCGAUGUACUGUUGUCAACAUUGGCACGCAGGAUUUAGUGGAAGGAAGGGUAUGUCUUUCCCCACUUGUUAUCCUUUCUUGAUGUAGUGUGAUUGGUAUACAAAUGUU